rnacentral:RNase_P_RNA from 1 species
UAUGUUGGUUAAGCGAUCGCUGCUAGUUGUAGUAGAGGAAAGUCCGGGCUCCAUAGAGCAGGAUGCCAGGUAACACCUGGGCGAUGAAAGUCGAUGGAAAGUGCCACAGAGAACAGACCGCCUUAGGGUAAGGGUGAAACGGUGUGGUAAGAGCGCACCGCGUAACAGGUAACUGUUGCGGCAGGGUAAACCCCAUUCGGAGCAAGACCAAGUAGAAUCUAGAGUUUACUCACAUAUGGCUCAUAUGAGAUUCGGGUAGGUUGCUAGAGGUGCACAGCGAUGUGUAUCCCAGAUAGAUGAUCGUUCACGACAGAACCCGGCUUAUCGACCAACAUACCUC